CUUUCCAGAGAGGGACCUUGUAAGGCUGACUUUGGAAUAUGACUGCAUUCUGGUAAGCCCACUGGAUAAGUGAGCUAUAACAUAAAUCCUUAGGUUAUAAGGAGGAGAGCUUACUAGAACUAUUUAUUAGUAGCCAAUGUUUACCUGCCAAAAAUGAUUUUAAUUUAUAUGUUUUCCCAGAAAACACAUCCAGCUAUGUAUUUCUAGAGUCUGAAGGUAAGACCAUGCUGAGAGCAUAAGGAUGUUAUCUUUUUAUUUUAUGGUGGGGAGAUGAAAGAGAGAUGUGUUUAUUAACCAAAAGCCAUGACAAAUUAUUUAAGGACAAGUUACAAGGGGAAUAAGGAUACAAGUGCAGUAAACAUAAGCCUGAUUUUAUACUCUUUAAAGUAAAAAUUUGCUUCUAGAGAGCCUAACAGCUCCUAACAUCCUACCCAUUUGAUUCCUCAGAUUCAAUAA
rnacentral:lncRNA from 1 species